rnacentral:lncRNA from 1 species
GAGGCUUCAAGUGGAUCAAUUGUAGAGGUCAGACAUCCUAUGGGGCUAUGAGCAAUCUGAAAGAUCUCGAGUCCAUAAGCCUCAGAUGCAAUGAUCUACUACCUACGCUCAAGUAUCGAGUUCUGAACUCGAUGAUCUUGUAGAUUAGAUCUGCAGCGUAUAUGAUGCAAUCAUACAUGCAGAUUUUAUUUUUUCAGAUAAUAUUCUUGCAUAAUAUCAUGUCAU